rnacentral:rRNA from 1 species
AUGAUGAAGUACUGUUUGUCCAGGUUGGAUUAUGAUCCCACUGAUCCAUUGGUCAAAGUGUAUUGGGUUUUGCCAGGGAAAGAUAUUAUGGAUGGCCUUGUCUGUGUGGACACUGAGGAAGCAAUUGCUGCUAUGGUCACUGCAAGCAAAGAAGCUAAAACAUUGGAUGUAAUAGUGGACGAGGAAAACAAAAUAAGGACUUUGUAUGGCGACGAUGUCAUACUCAAUAGAUGCCCAACACUACCUAGAAAAUUCCCAAGGUCUGGUCAGUUUGGAGAAGGGACUUCUGGUUCAUAUGCAGAGGGGGCGAGGGAAGAGGAGGAAACAGGGGAGGAGGAGGAAGCAGGGGAAUCAGGGGAAGCAGAAGAUGCACAGACCGACUCGGACUUUUAUGAGAGUGACUUUGACUGCGAAGAUGGGGAUGAUGAUCUGUUUGCUGAGAAUGUCAAUAUACCAGUACGCUAUCAGUGGAUUUCACUCAAACUACGUGUUAUAUCUCUUUUCUACGCUGAGGACGCGACCUCACUACAGCCUUCCACGGCCGCGUACUCCAGUUUUCAGUGA